AAGAAGCCCAAGUGACGGUACCUGCAGAAGAAGCGCCGGCUAACUACGUGCCAGCAGCCGCGGUAAUACGUAGGGUGCAAGCGUUGUCCGGAAUUAUUGGGCGUAAAGAGCUCGUAGGCGGUUUGUCGCGUCUGCUGUGAAAGCCCGGGGCUUAACCCCGGGUGUGCAGUGGGUACGGGCAGACUAGAGUGCAGUAGGGGAGACUGGAAUUCCUGGUGUAGCGGUGAAAUGCGCAGAUAUCAGGAGGAACACCGGUGGCGAAGGCGGUUCUCUGGGCAUCACCUGACGCUGAGAAGCGAAAGCGUGGGGAGCAAACAGGCUUAGAUACCCUGGUAGU
rnacentral:rRNA from 1 species